UCGAACGGUUCUAAGCGCGAGCUUAGGAUAGUGGCGAACGGGUGAGUAAAAGGUAGGAAUCUACCCCUUGGACGGAGAUAGCUACUGGAAACGGUAGGUAAACUUCGAUAAGCCCGAGAGGGGAAAGUGGUGAGACAGCCGAGGGAUGAGCCUACUCUCCAUCAGGUAGUUGGUGAGAUAAAAGCUUACCAAGCCGAUGACGGAUAACCGGUGUGAGAGCAUGAACGGUCACAAGGGCACUGAGAGACGGGCCCUACUCCUACGGGAGGCAGCAGUGGGGAAUCUUGGACAAUGGGCGAAAGCCUGAUCCAGCGACGCCGCGUGGAGGAAGAAGUCCUUCGGGAUGUAAACUUCUGAACUAGCCGAAUAAAAGGCCUGUGGACACACAGGAGAAGAAAGUAGGCUAGGAAAAGUCCCGGCUAACUACGUGCCAGCAGCCGCGGUAAGACGUAGGGGGCAAGCGUUACCCGGAAUUACUGGGCGUAAAGGGGGCGUAGGCGGUAAAAGAAGUCAUCUGUGAAAACCUAUUGCUCAACGAUAGGCUAGCGGAUGAAACUGAAUUACUUGAGGGCACCAGAGGUAGACGGAAUUACCCGAGUAGGGGUGAAAUCCGCAGAUACGGGUAGGAACGCCGGUGGAGAAGUCGGUCUACUGGGGUGCACCAGACGCUGAGGCCCGAAAGCUAGGGGAGCAAACCGGAUUAGAUACCCGGGUAGUCCUAGCCGUAAACGAUGCUCACUAGGUGUAGGGAGUGAUAAACUCUCUGUGCUGAAGCGAACGCGCUAAGUGAGCCGCCUGGGGAGUACGUCCGCAAGGAUGAAACUCAAAGGAAUUGACGGGGGUCCGCACAAGCGGUGGAGCAUGUGGUUUAAUUCGAUGGUAACCGAAGAACCUUACCAGGGAUUGACAUGUAACUGAAGGUAGAGAAAUCUACUGGCCUGCUGCAAAGCGGGAGGUUACAC
rnacentral:rRNA from 1 species